GUGGCCAAUGUAGAUAAUGAAGAAUUAUGUCAGACAUUAAUCUUAAGGAAUUAGUAUUUAUUAAUUUUGUUACUCUACUUCCUAUUGAACCUGCGUGUCAUGUAUCUGAAGUUCAGAAUUUUUGAAGGCUAGUUGUUUGUCAAACUUAGCCGGUCUAAUAUGCUAUUUGAUUGAUGUUGCCUUGAAAUCGUACUUAAUUGCUUAUAAUAAACUUCCAAAUUUCAUAGUAUUAAAAACAUAA
rnacentral:lncRNA from 1 species